rnacentral:rRNA from 1 species
GUCGUGAAGAGGGAAACAACCCAGACCGCCAGCUAAGGUCCCAAAGUCAUGGUUAAGUGGGAAACGAUGUGGGAAGGCACAGACAGCCAGGAUGUUGGCUUAGAAGCAGCCAUCAUUUAAAGAGUGCGUAAUAGCUCACUAGUCGAGUGACACUGCGCCGAAAAUGUACCGGGGCUAAACAUAUUACCGAAGCUGUGGAUUGUCCUUUGGACAAUGGUAGGAGAGCGUUCUAAGGGCGUUGAAGCAUGAUCGUAAGGACAUGUGGAGCGCUUAGAAGUGAGAAUGCCGGUGUGAGUAGCGAAAGACGGGUGAGAAUCCCGUCCACCGAUUGACUAAGGUUUCC